rnacentral:rRNA from 1 species
GACGAACGCUGGCGGCGUGGAUUAGGCAUGCAAGUCGGACGGUAGGGCUUUAUCGUAAGAUAGAGUUUGAGAGUGGCGAACGGGUGAGUAACACGUAGGAAUCUACCCUUAAGACGGGGACAACCCAGGGAAACUUGGGCUAAUACCGGAUGAGAGUGCGAGAGAUUGCAUUUAAAAGGAUGGCGAAAGUUGUCGCUUAGGGAUGAGCCUGCGGUCUAUUAGUUAGUUGGUGAGGUAAGAGCUCACCAAGGCGAUGAUAGAUAGGCGGCCUUAACGGGUGGUCGCCCACACUGGGAUUGAGAUACGGCCCAGACUCCUACGGGAGGCAGCAGUCGAGAAUAGUCUACAAUGGCCGGAAGGCUGAUAGUGCGACGCCGCGUGAACGAGGGAGCCCUUCGGGUGUAAAGUUCUUUUCUAUACGAGCAGUGCUAUAUAUAUGGACAGUAUAUAUAGAGGGAUAGUAGUAUAGGAAUAAGCAACGGCUAACUCCGUGCCAGC